AACGCGAAGAACCUUACCCAGGCUCGAAAUGAUAAGCGCGAUAACAGAAAUGUUAUUUCCCGAAAGGGGCUUAUUAUAGGUGCUGCAUGGCUGUCGUCAGCUCGUGCCGUGAGGUGUUGGGUUAAGUCCCGCAACGAGCGCAACCCUUAUUGUCAGUUGCCAACGCGUAAUGGCGGGGACUCUGGCAAGACUGCCUAGGUUAACUAGGAGGAAGGUGAGGAUGACGUCAAGUCCGCAUGGCCUUUAUGUCUGGGGCAACACACGUGCUACAAUGGUAGGUACAAAAGGCAGCGAAGCCGCAAGGUGGAGCAAAUCCGAAAAAGCCUAUCUCAGUUCAGAUUGGAGUCUGCAACUCGACUCCAUGAAGUUGGAAUUGCUAGUAAUGGCGUGUCAGCACAGCGCCGUGAAUACGUUCCGGGCCUUGUACACACCGCUCGCGA
rnacentral:rRNA from 1 species